GGCUGAAAUUACGCCUUCAUGAAGCUGGAAUUGCUAGUAAUGGCAGGUCAGCAUACUGCCGUGAAUACGUUCCCGGGCCUUGUACACACCGCCCGUCACACCAUGAGAGUUGGAAAUACCCGAAGCCUGUGAGCUAACAGUAAUGAGGCAGCAGUCGAAGGUAGAGCCAAUGAUUGGGGUGAAGUCGUAACAAGGUAUC
rnacentral:rRNA from 1 species